UCUCAUGUCUCUAGUGCUGCCUCACUGGUUCCGCAUGCAGACCGUCUUUAUUGACACGGGUAUGGUCAGUGUUGAUGUCCUUCUCCAUUCUCUUCUGACCUCACCUGUGCUCCUGGUGGGCAUCCUGGCUUUCCUAUUGGACAAUACAGUAUCGGGGUCUUCAUCGGAGAGAGGACUUGACUCAGCGGAGAUGGAG